UCAAUGUGGGAGGGGCUUCCCCAGCUAGUGUUUGACUGUGAGUGAGUGAGGCCAUGCGGUGAUGAGAGCUGGUGCAGUGACAGACAAGUGACAAGAAGCUGGAUGUGCGUGAAUGAAAGAAAAACCACACACCCACACAGUCACACGAAGUAAAACCCAAAUCAACCAACUUCCAACUCUCUGUGUUUUUCGUGCUCUCGGGCAUUUGGCCUUAAGUGGUGUUCUGGCCGACACCCCUGUGUGAACCUGGAAACAAUCAAGGGAUCAAACAACUUUGCAAAACUUUACUGCAAAGUUGUAACAACAGCCCCGCUGGACGUCACUGGUGAGCCUCAUGUCUUUUAUUGUGAAGGACUUGUGGCUCACAUGACAACCUACCUUCUGCCCUACACAGCCAUGUGGAGCGGGAUAAUGCUUGGGAACCUUGGACGACAUGGAAAAGGAAAGGCGUACAAAGAGAGCACACGCAUACAUGAUGCCCUGAGAAAGCUCACAAGAC